rnacentral:lncRNA from 1 species
AAUAACUCUUGAAUAAAUACGAAGCUCUUUCGCUUUGGCUUUUGCUUGAUUUUCACGUUCUCUCCAUAUGUAUACUACGUUUGUUGCUUGAUGAUUACCUUGACUCUCACAGCAUUAAAGCAUGAUAAUUCCUUACCUUCUUCUUUUCAAGAAUUACAUUAUACAUCAUCAUCAAAUUUAAAUUUCGAUGAAAAACUAAAAUAUGUAUUGACUUUUCUUUUAGCUUUUUCACUUUUUUUUUUCCUUUUCCUUUUCCCUAUUCUUUUCCCCUCUUUCUGCUUUCCCUUUGCUCUCUUCUUUAUCCCUGAACAUCUCCUCUAUUCUAUUCUCUUGUUCAUAACAAUUAUCCCUUCUCUCUUCAUCUCUUCUCUCUUUUUAAAUAAGAUCUCUUGAUUAUGUAAAACAUUUUAUGUCUCAUAGUCGGGACAUUGCUGGGACUGAGGAUUCCCUUUCAACAUCCUGUGAUGAGAAGAAAAGGCCGGGGUUGUUGUGCCAAAAAGACGAAAAUAAACAGGACCAAAUUAAGGAAAUUUAGGAAGCGUGGCUACUAGAUCUAUGGUUGGUCGCAUGAGUAUAGAUCUAUGGUUGAUCGAAUGCCAUAGUUAUGGUUAGAACCUGUACAAAAUUCUUUAAGGUCAGCAUGCCUAAACUGAGCUCCCUGAUAGCCUUCAAUGCACUCUGUUUUUACCAUUUUCCUUUUUCGAGUUCACUUGGUGUUCUUAUCUCUUUCAUAAAAUACAAUCUUGUCUACAAUCCUCAGUUUCUAACUUCACUAUAUCGAAAGGAUCACGCCAAAGGAUCUGUUGUCCUUUACACAACGUGAGCACCAUGCGGUUGAAUCCUCAGAAUACUGCUUCUUUAUAGCAUAGGUUUCCCCAAGUUGAUGCGACAAGUUGCAUUAGCAAGAUCUGUGAUGGGAACAUCAGAACCUGGACUAUCAAUUUUUUGUUGAUUUUGUGACAGAGGUGACUAAUGAAGUUUCUUGAGGAUUUAGAGUGGGAAAGAGCUCGGAAGGCUUUCUCAUUGCCCUUUGUAUUUGGGUCCGAAUAUAAGGUAAGCUGGGGGUGGAAGCCUUUCGGGUCCUUGGAUUGCUGGUGGUAUCAUCCAGAGUUUAGAAGCUUAGAUGAGAGGUCUCUUCUGUUCAGCCACGUCGUUUUAGGAUCAUAAAGAGGCUGAGGCUACUAAAGAAAAACUCAAGGAUUGGAUUCGUACUUUUGGAUAAGCAACCGACAGAGGCAAAAUUGCUCAUUAAUGAUAUGGACCACGUGGCUGAAACUAGAGCAGUUUCAGACAUGGCUCCCCAAGAUGCGGAUCAAUUCAUAUUUUUUAGUUGGUUCAUAUCGAGUUAAUUUUCUUUUUGUUUUUAUUAAAAUUCAGUCUAAUCUAAAUGUCGAAAUCAUUGGUCGGCAUAUUAGCUAAAGUCAGGUUUUAAAUCAAUAGUUUCAGAAUAAUAAUUAGUAGCUUUGAAAUCUUAUCCAACAAGCUCUGAAAUCUUUUAGUUGGUCAUAUUAGGUUAAUUUUCUUUCUAUUUUUAUUGAAACUUGGUCUAAUCUAGACUUUCAAAUCACCGAAAUCACACGUCAACAUGUUUGCUCAAGUAAGGUUUUAAAUCAAUGCUUUUCAGAAUUAUAAUUAUCAGCUUUGAAAUAUCAUCCAACGAAGCUCUGGAAUUAUAAUUAUCAUGUAAUAAUAUAAGCAAAUUUCAAGUUGAAGGAAACUUUUAUACCAUAUGGAGAUGAUGAUAAAGAUGUAAAAUUAAGAAUGAAGGGAGCUAGAGUAUCGAACCAAUCUCUUACAUCAUGUGAAAUGAGGAUAAAGACUUUAGCUCUAAAAAAGAUUUAAAAUUAUGGAUGAAGACAAGACUACAUUUUUCUUGGAUACUACAUCUUGUCUUGGUUACAUGAACGAGACUUUUUUUUUUUUUUUGUUCUUAUAUUCUUGAAUUACAUUUAUGUUAGGUAGCCUGCAACUUUAGACUUCCUAUGCAACCUAUUUUGAAUAGCCACCCCUGCGUUUAAUUUAUAUUAUAACUUAUUACGCACGAGCAGAACACUUCUGUUGAAUGAAUCGAGCAAGUGGUCCGAGUGGCCAGAGCUCCAAACCUCCAAGACAACUCUUUGCCGUAGGCUGUCAUUUGUCGUCUUGUAAUUAACAGCUCUUCCGACACAUCAGCUAGAAGACAAGAUAAUAUUGGGAUAACUAAUAUACAGAUCUCAGCAAUGAAAUCGAUAAACAAUUUAGUGCAAGAAAACAGGGAUAGAGUUGAGACUCAUUCUGUUUUAUCCCAAAGCCAUAUGCUUUUUUAGCUUACAAAUCUAAUACGGAAAUAUUAUCCAAUAUUAGAUUGGCAACACCUUUUAUAAAACUUUAGGCAUAAGUUUUUGGCAAAUUUCUUUUUUGGUCCAUAUAGUUUUACAAUUAUAUAUAUGGAUUAGUCUAAAAUGUUAUUUUAUUCUCAUUCAAUUCCUAACUUUAAAGGAGAAAAUAGAGAGCGUAACCAUAUUAUAGCAAAUAAAAAAGGAAGUGGACGAGACAACAGGUUUUUGGCUAUGGAACUUGUUGAUCUUUGUAUUAUUCUAUUCCAUUCAAUAAGAAAAAUUUCGUUCAUAUAUUUAGAGUUUUAUUUUGUUUAAAAAAUAAAUCAGGGUUAAAAAAUUAAUUUUUUCUCUGGUUAGAUUUUUUUGAGAUCAUUUUGAGGAUUUUUGAGUUGGUUAAUGUGUUGUAAGACAUUCUAGGAGUGUUUAUUGAAUGUUUAAAGAUUAAAAUGGGUUAAAAAUAUAUUUUAUAGAUAAAAAUAGCAUCCCUAGAUGUUUUCUGAGUAGCGAACACUGUUAUUAAACCCGGCUUGGCCCGGCGGGUCGAUCCAGUAGCUGGACCAGUCCGGGUUUAAUAAAAGACAGGCUGUGACAACAGUUCGGGACCCGGGCGAACCCAGACGAUACCCGGUUUUUUUUUUUUAAAUGUGGGAUUUGAAACCCAUUAGUAUAUAUAUUCUAUGUUCCUAAAAAAAAAAUUUAUUUUUUAUUUUUUAUUUUUAUUUCUCUAACCAAACAUGUUUGUUUUCGCAUUAUCUUUAUUAAUUUCUUCUUUCUUAAAAAACUAACUAAACACUAUUCUUUUUUUUUUACUGUAAUAGUAACUAAACCAUGCCUUAAAAAACUAGAAAUUAGGGACUUGAUUUUUUAUGGAAAAAAUUAUAAAUCCCAUCACUAAUCAUCUGCGUUUAAGUGGUCGGAUUUUAUAAUCUAAUAUAAGCACGAGAAAAACAAUUUUGUGGGAUAAAUCAAGUAAGCAAGUGGUCCAAGAGGCAAGAGCUCCAAAGCCCAAACCUACCCGACAAGUCUCUGUCAGAGGACAAUAAUUUGUAGUUUCGUCGAGCAAGUGGCACUCGUUUAAUUAAUUGUAACUAAUAAUCCAAAUCCUUUCUCCCUAUAAAUUCAUGGUCUCUGUUCAAUCUUUGAACACAUCAACAACAAGACUCAAUAUUGGGAUAUAACUAUUACUUAUCAGAUUCAACAAUGAAGAUGACUAACUUUCUAGUGCUCUCCUUUCUUCUCUUUGCCUUCACGGCAACUUCAAUAUUUCCUCGUGCCGUUCAUGCUGAAGCAGUGAUCGAUGUCUUCGGUGAUGAGGUUAGAACUGGUGAUCGUUAUAUCAUCGGAGCCGCUUCGAAUGACUUUGCGGUCACUUCCAGCCGUAUCAUAUGCAAUUCAGAUGUUAUGUUUUCUCCAAUGAGCGAUGGACUCCCAGUAAUAUUUUCACCAGUUGUAGAAUCCAACGACAGUGUCAUCCACGAAGACAGUUAUCUGAAUGUGGACUUUGAUGCAGCCACAUGUAGGAUGGCGGGUGUAUCAACCAUGUGGAAGAUUGAAUUGAGGCCAACAGCGCGAGGAUUCGUUGUGACCACAGGAGGUGUUGCUGGAUUGAAUCGGUUCAAGAUCACCAAGUAUGAAGGUGGUAAUAAUUUGUAUCAGCUUUCUUACUGUCCAAUUUCCGAACCCAUAUGUGAAUGCUCAUGCGUCCCACUAGGCCAAGUUGUCAAUCGCUUGGCUCCCAGAACCAUCCCUUUUCCUGUUGUGUUUGUACCAUCCGAUAGAGCUUCUAAAAUCGAGUAUAAAAUGAUGUAAGAAUGAUAUAGAUCAGUACUGCAAUCCUGAAUGAGCUAGGGAGCUCGAUUGCCUGCUAUGAUCAUGUGUUGGGCAUCAAAUAAUUCUUGAAUAAAUACGAAGCUCUUUGGCUUUGGCUUUUGCUUGAUUUUCACGUUCUCUCCGUAUGUAUACUACGUUUGUUGCUUGAUGAUUACCUUGACUCUCACAGCAUUAAAGCAUGAUAAUUCCUUACCUUCAUCUUUUCAAGAAUUACAUUACACAUCAUCAUCAAAUUUAAAUUUCGAUGAAAAACUAAAAUAAGUAUUGACUUUUCUUUUAGCUUUUUCACUUUUUUUUUCCUUUUCCUUUUCCCUAUUCUUUUCCCCUCUUUCUCCUUUCCCUUUGCUCUCUUCUUUAUCCCUGAACAUUUACUCUCUUUACUUUCCUGUUCAUAACAAUUACCCCUUCUCUCUUUUUAAAAUUAGAUCUCUUGAUUAUGUAAAACAUUUUAUGUCUCAUAGUCGGGACAUUGCUGGGACUGAGGAUUCCCUUUCAACAUCCUGUGAUGAGAAGAAAAGGCCGGGAUUGUUGUGCCAAAAAGACGAAAUAAACAGGACCAAAUUAAGGAAAUUUAGGAAGCGUGG